rnacentral:tmRNA from 1 species
GGGGGCGACAUGGCUUCGACGCUGAUGACAACCCCUUAGGUGCAUGCCGAGAGCGUGAUGUAUCUCGUAAAUACCACAUCACAAUUGAAUAGUCGCAAACGACGAAAACUACGCUCAGGGCGCUCUGGCAGCUUAAACACUGUCUGUGCCCUACCCGGAAGCAACGCGCCUGGUCGUUGCCGAUGGGACAUGAGCUCGUAUAGCCAGGAUCGCGUUUAGUUCUGUUCUCGCGCUAGACGUUAAACUUUAGAGAAAUCGCACUUUGGAAUCCUGCCCGUUGGAGUCCCGAGUGUUAAAUCAAACAACGGAACUAAGCAUGUAGAGCCGAUGGGCGAGUGUCGGCGGACGCGGGUUCGAUCCCCGCCGCCUCCACCA